GACGAACGCUGGCGGCGUGCUUAACACAUGCAAGUCGAACGGAAAGGCCCUGCUUUUGUGGGGUGCUCGAGUGGCGAACGGGUGAGUAACACGUGAGUAACCUGCCCUGGACUUUGGGAUAACUUCAGGAAACUGGGGCUAAUACCGGAUAGGAGCUCCUGCUGCAUGGUGGGGGUUGGAAAGUUUCGGCGGGUGGGGAUGGACUCGCGGCUUAUCAGCUUGUUGGUGGGGUAGUGGCUUACCAAGGCUUUGACGGGUAGCCGGCCUGAGAGGGUGACCGGCCACAUUGGGCCUGCGAUACGGCCCAGACUCCUACGGGAGGCAGCAGUGGGGAAUAUUGCACAAUGGGCGGAAGCCUGAUGCAGCAACGCCGCGUGCGGGAUGACGGCCUUCGGGUUGUAAACCGCUUUCGCCUGUGACGAAGCGUGAGUGACGGUAAUGGGUAAAGAAGCACCGGCUAACUACGUG
rnacentral:rRNA from 1 species